CCGCAGCUUCCUUGGUGGCCACUAUUUCUGCAGAGAUGCCAAGCUCCUCCCAUCCCACAGCCACAGCGUCACCCCUGGUGCCCUUCACUCUCAACUUCACCAUCACCAACCUGCGCUUCAGGGAGGACAUGCGGCCUCCAGGGUCCGGGAAGUUCAACAUCACAGAGAAGGUUCUGCAGGGCCUGCUUGGGCCCUUGUUCAAGAACACCAGUGUCGGCCCCCUGUACUCGAGCUGCAGCCUGGCCUUGCUCAG